rnacentral:rRNA from 1 species
AGAGUUGAUCUGGCUCAGGACGAACGCUGGCGGCGUGCCUAACACAUGCAAGUCGAACGGAACGAAAGAAGCUUGCUUCUGGCGUUAGUGGCGGACGGGUGAGUAACACGUGAGUAACCUGCCUUUAGAGGGGAAUAAUGUCUGGAAACGGACACUAAUACCGCAUAAUGUAUUUAAUUCGCAUGAAUCGGAUACCAAAGGAGCAAUCCGCUGAAAGAUGGACUCGCGUCUGAUUAGCCAGUUGGCGGGGUAACGGCUCACCAAAGCGACGAUCAGUAGCCGGACUGAGAGGUUGAACGGCCACAUUGGGACUGAGACACGGCCCAGACUCCUACGGGAGGCAGCAGUGGGGGAUAUUGCACAAUGGGCGCAAGCCUGAUGCAGCAACGCCCGCGUGCAGGAAGAUGGUCUUCGGAUUGUAAACUGUUGUCCUCUGUGACGAUAAUGACGGUAGCAGAGGAGGAAGCCACGGCUAACUACGUGCCAGCCGCUGC